rnacentral:misc_RNA from 1 species
UGUGGGAGCGGGCUUGCUCGCGAAUGCGGUAUUUCAGACAAAUAUUCAGUGGCUGACACACCGCAUUCGCGAGCAAGCCCGCUCCCACA